AGAGUUUGAUUCUGGCUCAGGAUGAACGCUGGCGGCGUGCUUAACACAUGCAAGUCGAACGAAGCACUUUAUUUGAUUUCCUUCGGGACUGAUUAUUUUGUGACUGAGUGGCGGACGGGUGAGUAACGCGUGGGUAACCUGCCUUGUACAGGGGGAUAACAGUUGGAAACGGCUGCUAAUACCGCAUAAGCGCACGGCAUCGCAUGAUGCAGUGUGAAAAACUCCGGUGGUAUAAGAUGGACCCGCGUUGGAUUAGCUAGUUGGUGAGGUAACGGCCCACCAAGGCGACGAUCCAUAGCCGACCUGAGAGGGUGACCGGCCACAUUGGGACUGAGACACGGCCCAAACUCCUACGGGAGGCAGCAGUGGGGAAUAUUGCACAAUGGGCGAAAGCCUGAUGCAGCGACGCCGCGUGAGCGAAGAAGUAUUUCGGUAUGUAAAGCUCUAUCAGCAGGGAAGAUAAUGACGGUACCUGACUAAGAAGCACCGGCUAAAUACGUGCCAGCAGCCGCGGUAAUACGUAUGGUGCAAGCGUUAUCCGGAUUUACUGGGUGUAAAGGGAGCGCAGGCGGUGCGGCAAGUCUGAUGUGAAAGCCCGGGGCUCAACCCCGGUACUGCAUUGGAAACUGUCGUACUAGAGUGUCGGAGGGGUAAGCGGAAUUCCUAGUGUAGCGGUGAAAUGCGUAGAUAUUAGGAGGAACACCAGUGGCGAAGGCGGCUUACUGGACGAUAACUGACGCUGAGGCUCGAAAGCGUGGGGAGCAAACAGGAUUAGAUACCCUGGUAGUCCACGCCGUAAACGAU
rnacentral:rRNA from 1 species